rnacentral:rRNA from 1 species
GCCAGAGGGUGCAACCGUUGCUCGGAAUCACUGGGCGUAAAGGGCGUGUAGGCGGGCAGGCAAGUCAGAUGUGAAAUCCCUGGGCUCAACCCAGGAACUGCAUUUGAAACUCCCUUUCUUGAGUGUCGGAGAGGAAAGCGGAAUUCCUGGUGUAGAGGUGAAAUUCGUAGAUAUCAGGAGGAACACCGGUGGCGAAGGCGGCUUUCUGGACGACAACUGACGCUGAGACGCGAAAGCGUGGGGAGCAAGCAGG